GAUUGCUAUUUUUAGCUUUCAUCAUUUUUAAGAUCUACCUUACCCUGAAUAAUAUAGGGAGGGUCCUUUUUUAGUUGAAUAUACUAUAUAAUACAUUGCACAGCUAAUACACUUUGAGGUCCUUAGUUCAUAUUGUAAUGAAUUUAUACGAAAUAGUGGCAGCAUAUGUAUUAAGACCUGAAUUUAUAUACUGCCGUCACAAUUUUUUCACAUCGAAAGUACUGUUUUGAGCUGGAAUAUAGUAAUUAUUUAUAUUUAAAUGAGCAUAGCAGAAGAUCUAAAGGAAGAAAUUUCUUUUAUAAUAAACUUCUUUUCAUCCUAUUUUCUUCCCCUGUUUAACCAGUUGAAAACGGCAGUUAUAUUUAAACCUGCUCGAGCGGGUGUUACUAUAGUAACGGCAGUAAAUACAGAAUAGAAAUAUAUUGUGCAGAACGAAAUAAUAAGUAGUAACUUUAUAGAGCUUUUGAUACAAUAUGACUGUUUAGUUAUAUAG